GUUUACACCAUUUUCCUAAACUAAUCUCUUCCAAAUGCAGGCAGCAUUUUUUUGAACUUCUGGCCACAAGCCCUUUCAUAUCAAUAUAAAGAAAUGAGCUGUUAUCACGUUGCUUACAGUGAGGAAUCCUGCUUGGCCGGAAGGGAAGCCAUUGCAUGUCCUGCUCUAGGAUAGUCCUUCUAGGGCCUACUUAAACAAGCCAUGUCACACUGCAACACCCCAGAACUCCAGAGAAUGGAAGAGGA